GGUCAGUGAUGUGACGUAAAAGGUCUGAAACCCAGGUCUCCUCCCGGUUCUCGUGCGCCUCCCAGCAGCCCCUCUUCGUUUUUUUUCCCAGCAUGCUUUAGUCGUGCGUUGCUGGCGCGAGGCGGCGGCUGAUAUUAGGGACGUUUUUGCUGAGUAAGAGUCUUUUAGAGACGCGAGCGAGACCUCGACAGCAGCAUCCAACAGAACUACGGAGCGAAGGAGGGAUGGAGGACGGGAGGAGAGCUUUAAACUGGUGCAUGAUCUCAAGUUUUCAAGCUGAGACC